UGUAAACUGCAAAAUAUCUAAUAAAAUACGCAGAAACAUGAACUGUAAGGCCAUAAGGUUCAAUACUGAUACAUAUCUGAAAAAUAUGGUAUAACAAUACCAAAAAGAAAAAUAAAUACUGAAGUAUGAACAUCUAAUCUGACAUCUACUCUGAAAGCCUCUAACUGAACUGAAUAAGGAGUUGAUGGGACAUGUCCCCAACUAACUCCAGCUACUGAAAUAGAAAUGAAAUUAUCAUAUCCUCAAAGGAUGAGGACUCACGUCUAACUCUGACUGCUGAUCCUGGAAUCUACUGCUGAUUUGGAGCUCAUGCCUCUAAACCUAUGGUGUAACAUAAGAGAAAGCACCAUAGCGCAAAUGCGUCAGUAUGUCUGAAUGUGCUAAGUAUACGAGUGAGGUAGGCUAAAUGCAAAGGGUUAUAUGCAUGAAAAAUACUGACUGCUAUGAACGUGAGAGUACAUACAUGCAUACGUAACUGUAACUGAAAUCAUGGAGAUACCGACUACUGAGUCUGAAUACUGACAACAUGAGUGUACUGAUAAUGAGAUUCUGAAAGACUGAGUUUACUGAUAUUGAUAUGUAAAUUACUAAUAAGUGAUAGAUCUAAUACUGUAUUACUGAAUACUAGGAGACUGAUACUAUAUUACUGAUAAAGGAAUAAUUGUUUCUGACAGUUCAAAUUAUGAAGAACUGGUCUGAUUGACUGUAUCUAACAGUCCUGAAGCUGAAUACUGAUAGCAUGAGUUGUGAUAACUUUUGUGAUUGAUAGAAUAAGUGACUGUAUCUGAUAGUCCAUAAAUCUAAAGGAAACUAUCUGAGUUCAACUUUAUUUCUAAGUUGAUUGUAUCUGACAGUCCUGAUAUACUGAAAUCUGAAGAACUAUCCAAGUUCUUUACUGAGACUGUUAUUGAAACUGCCGUUAUGGCUAAGCUGGGGUCCAAUCUCUGCCCCGACUGGAGGGGAGUCAAUAUCGCGCCACUGGUAAGGACAGCUGGCGGGUACUCAAUGAGAAUGGUGGGAACCCUAAACUGACGGGUUAAGCCACCUCAUCAACCCUAAGCUAACGGGUUAAGAUGUCUCAACCUACACUGGCUACGUAGUUCUGGAACACAAGGAUUGCUACUAAGAAUCACACCCUGAACUGGCGGGUGAGUUCCCAUCCUUGGGUUCACUCGGUGCUAACCUUUACUCCCAUCUGAAAGACACUGAACUGAAUAACUAAGCUGAACUGAAUAACUGAACUGAACUGAUUAGCUGAACUGAUACUGAUUAACUGGACUGAUACUAGUGGUAUUGUUUAGCAGAGCUAAACAAGUUUACUAGAUUCCAAUGACUAGCGGAAUGUACGGAGUUCUGAGGACUGGCUGAGAGUACUGGAGUUACUGAGAUUGACUUUGACUACUGAGGUUGCUGAAGUUACUGAGCACUGAGAUUACUGAGAUUACUGGACUACUGAGACUACUGAGAUUUCUGAGUUUUUAUAAGUCACAUGACUGACUGAAUUCUAUAGAUCAUGGCUUGACUGGGAGUAUCAUGAAAACAUGACAUGGUUCUAGGCACACAGCUAUAUUUUUCGGGUACAAGUACCCCCAGGACUCAAUGGAAGGAAACUAACACAACUUGAAUUUCUUGAGUACACGACCAUCAAUAAAAAUCCAUAAUACGUGAGUGGGGGAUUUCAUGAAGUACGUGGUCAUCAUAAUAUCUAUCAUGAAUAGGAAUGCUUAUAAUCAAGUCAUAAAUCUCAUAUUCUAAUAUCAUGGGCAUUCCGACAACAUAUACUAUUCAUAGCAAUCACAUGGAAACCAUUCAAGCGUAAGGGAACUGCAACAUGUAACAUUUAGUUCAUAUUAUAAUGAUUUGGGGAUAUUAAACUUCAUGUAUUUAUUCAACAUCUCAAACAUGGUAGGAAAAGCAGGGAUAUAAGUCGCAUACAUAAUUCAUAUCUUCAUCAUCAUACAUGCUUCAUGCCGCUACCAUAAGAAUACAUAAAUAGCAUAGAAAUUCAUAUUGAAGUGUAUAGCUAACAUGAACUUGUAUUUAGAUAUCAUGAAAUCAUGUAGAUAUGAAGUUCUAACACACUAGGCAUUUUAUCGAACACCUUGCAUGCAUUCUUUAAGGCAUAGGUGGAUUUCAUCAAAUUAUACAUCAUGAACAACCAAAUUUACAUGUUUCCAACUCAUAUAAUAUCAUGAAAUUUUAAAAAAAAAAAUAUAAAGAUUCCAUCUUUGGAAUCACCCAAUAUCAACAACACGAUCACCAACACCCAACAAUAUAGAAAUCAUACUUUAUAAUGAAAAAGAGGGUUUUUGAGCUUUAUGGNNNNNNNNNNNNNNNNNNNNNNNNNNNNNNNNNNNNNNNNNNNNNNNCACCACAAUCAACCAAGCUUUUGUAUUUUAAAGAUUGAUUCUUGAACUCCACGGACGAAAAGAAUCCUUGGAUGAACACUACGCAUACCUUGGAAGGGAGGUUCUUGAUGAUUGGUAGAGGAAUAUCCUUGAAAUUUGAUCUUCAAGCUUGAUUGUGCAACCCUAGUUGUUUUUCUCCUAUGGUGCUCUUGGAUGAUGAGCUUUAAGAUGUUAAUAGGGUUGUAAUGUGUUUAGAAGCUAUAUAUUUCGUAGGGUUAAGUCUAGGGACGUGUAAGGAGUGUUAAAAGGCUUAAUUACCCUUAAAAUAACUCAAAAUGGAGUGUUUUUGGCACCUGGAACUGACUUAGGCGCACCCAAGUAAUCGCCUAUGCUUGGGUUGGGCGGUGCCUAACCAAUCGCUGCCGCCUAACCAAUCGCCUAUGCUUACUGCCUCUCACGAAAAUGGGCAUAACUUUUCGCUCGAGUAUUGGAUUAAGGCGAAAUUGGUAUCGUUGGAAAGCUAAUUCAAUUAUCUAUAAUUUGGUGGAUAGAAAUAUGCAUAAAUACCACAUUAAAAUCAAGUUAAACUCGUUCAAAGAUGACCCUUGCAAAAUCGAACACUAAAACUUGAUGGAUUCAAAAACUCUUAGCUUGUAUUACCUUAAGUGACUCAUAUGAACAUGCUUAAUGUAUCAUAAGUUAUCUUAUCACUAGGAUACUCAUUGUAAGUCAUGUACUAAAGUGCUACUCACAGGAUGGGAGGUUUCAUACGUAGGAAAAAUGGUUCGUCUCCUAGCUUAGAAACAUACGGGGUAUUACAAUGCUACUAUGUGAGUAGAGACGUGUUGGUUUUUGGUCCAAGUCCGCUUACUAUAUAAGGUGUGUUUGUUCGUGGUCCAAGUCCACUUACCAUAUAAGGCAUGUUGGUUUGUGGUCCAAGCCCUCUUACCAUGCAAAGCGUGUUGAUUCGUGGUCCAAAUCCGCUUACCAUAUAAAGCGUGUUAGUUUGUGGUCCAAUUCCACUUACCAUAUAAGGUGUGAUGGUUUGUGGUCUAAUUCCACUUACCAUGUAAGAUAUGACAGUUUAUGGUCCAAGUCCACUUACAAUAUAAGGUGUGACGGUUUGUGGUCUAAGUCACUUACCAAAUAAGGUGAGACAGUUUCUGGUCCAAGUCCUCAUACCAUAUAAGGUGUCACAGUUUGUUGUCCAAGUCCACUUACCAUACAAGUUGCGACUAUUUGUGGUCUAAGUCCACUUACCACGUAAGGUGUGUCAAUUUGUGGUUCGUGUCUACUUAUCAUAUAAAGUGUGAUAAUUUUUGGUCCAAGUCCACUUACCAUACAAGGUGUGACGGUUUAUGGUCUGAGUUAACAUACCACGUAAGGUGUGUCGAUUUAUUAUUUUUAUCCACUUACCAUAUAAGGUGUGGUGGCUUGAGGUUCGGUUCCUCUUUGUUAAUAUAACAGAUUAGUCAAAGGUUCAAAACUUUUAAGGGUGGAAGGUCUUAGUCCUUUACUCCAUGUCUUACAAAUGAAUGUAUCCAAAAUGCAUAUUGUGACUCAUUACAAGAUUUGACUUUUUGUGUCACUAUAUGUAUAUGUGUAUUCAAUAUGCCUAUGCUUAUGUAAAUAUGAUCGCCUAUGAUGGACUGACAUGGAUUUAAACAAGUGUACUAUUUUCUCCUUAUCAUUUAGUUACAUGCUAGCGUUCCAACUGCAAACCAUUCCCAGAAUCUAUAUCCCCACGCGAUGUAGCUCUUGGAGCUUCUUCUUAUUUUCCUAUGCAAUGAUUCAGUAAUUUAAGUGGUUCAUGCAUUGACUUAGAGUAGUGAGCCUCCUUACUUCGGAGGGCAUUCACCCUUGGUCUUCUAUCAUUAGACUUGGUCUCUUUUAGACUUUGUUUAGCUAUAGCCGGGGGCUUGUCCUGACAUAUACACUUAUUGACUAUGGUUUUGUAUAGAGAUAUUGUGAACAAUAGUGAACUUGGGCUUAGUUAUUAAAAAUAAAUCUCAUAUUGACUUAUGAUAUUAUUUCCGCUAUUUUGAUAUGUGAGUUAGAGUUUCUUGGACUCAUAUGGCAUGAUAAGUGUUUGAGUUGGGUUAUCAAAGUGACCUCUGAUUCAUGUAAGUUUGAGGUGUCCAUACGAUAUGGUUCAAAGUUUGGGUCGUGUCAAGUGGAUAUCAGAUCCUAGGUUCAUUGUCGCUUGGGUGUUCACAAUGUCAUGUCAUGUUGAGUCUCUUUUAUGGUAUGAAGUGCGCCACACUUAUAAAAGAGAGGCUAUGAGAAAUUUUACGAAAUGUUUCCCUUUCUUGUCUAUCAAUCUCAAGCUAUAGAGUCUAAGGUCUUGGAUUCUUCUGAUUUCCGUUUGCUAUCUUUCAGAUCAUGCCACUAAGGAGAUCUAAUACUCAGGCAAACACUUCUGUCCCGACUGGGGACAAUGUGGACGGAUUUCAUCCAACUUUGGGGUUCAGACCCAGGCUAGGGUUACGGCAUCUGACCAUCUUCAUGGGGUUCCUCCUGCCCUCACCAACCUUGCUUAUGAGAGUAACAUUUCUUCCCAGUCUCCUUAAGAGAAUGCUACUAUAUGGAGUUUCAUCGCUCCAUCAACUUCUUGACCCAAUUGGUAGCUUCUCAAUUCGGGUAUGGUGCCUCUUUUGCUCCAUCCUUUGACGCCACAAGAGUUGGGUAAUUCAUCAAGUUUCACCUUCCUAUGUUUAUGGGUUUGAAAGUUGAGAAAGAUCCCUAAAUUUUCAUUGAUGAAAUAGAGAAGAUCUUUUGUAGUAUGGAUAUGUGAGAGGUUGAAGGUGCUAAGUUUGUUUCCUAUCAAUUGAAGGAUAUGGCGUACCAGUAGUACAAAGAGUGGGAGAUAUCGAAGGGUGUGAGUUCUAGUCCGACUGAGUGGGAAUAUUUCUCUAGUACCUUUCUUGACCGCUUCUUUCCUCAAGAGUUGAAGAAAGUGAAUUUGAGGCAAGCUGGGAUGUCCGUUAAGGAGUACGCCUAAAAGUUCCAUCAACUGUCAAGGAAUGCCCCUGAGAUGGUGGUCAGCAUGAGAGCGAGAAUGCAUAAAUUUGUUUAAGGGUUAUCUCCCAAAUUGGUUCUUGAGAGUAAGGUAGCCUUGUUGAUUAGCAACAUGAACAUCUCUAGGUUGGUUGUGUAUGUGUAAUAAGUGGAAGAAGAGAAAAAGAAGUAGGGUGAGAUUAGUGAGAGGCAAGGUGAGAGAUCUCGGCCAGUUGAGCUAAGAGAGGGCCAAUAGUCUAGUGGUAGGUUGUCUAGGAGGAAGAAUUGGGUGAGUGGUGAUUCUAAAGCCAAAGGGGCCCAGUUAGAGCCAACCUACCAUCUUUGUAGAUUCUGUGGUCAACAUCACCAUGGUGAGUGCGAGAAGGAGAAUAACGGAUGUUUCUAAUGUGGCCAGAUUGGGAACAUGCAGUGACAGUGCCUUUCUCGAGUGGCUGUUUAAACUGACAGAGCCCCUAUUGCUAUUUCAUUUACUCCUACACCAAAGGGUGAUAUCUCUGCUUUUUUUCUGGUACCGGUACUGGUUGAGGUCGCUUUUAUGCACUUUCUGCUCACCAGGGGUCUGAGGUGCCUCUGAAUAUUGUUAUUGGUAUGUUGAAAACUCUUUCACAGUGUUAUGUAUGUUUAAACUUUGCUUGGUAUGUUGGACCUCAUCUGUGAUUGUGUGUUUCAAUUUGGUUCUGGGUCAUUUGAGCUCCUUUCUUUCUUUAUUUCUACAUCGAUAAAAGACUAUGUGGUUAUAAGGAUACUAUCGAGAGAGUGUGAUAACUAUUGAUAAUAAAGAAAGUCUUAUUGAUUGAUAGAGGUGGACAUAAUUGUGUUUGUUGUCGAUUAGAGGUGAAUCGAUUGCAUUCGUGCUAUGUUUCCUAAGAUAGUUGGGUCCCUAAGGUCGUGCCUUCCCUAAUGAGUUUUCAUUGUAUGGGAAGAAGGUCCCUUGAGCGGCUAAAGAGAUGGUUCUCCCUAUAAGGGUCCAAGUUGAAUUGAACUUGUCACCUAGCAUGAACCUCGUUCGUUUGGUGUUCCAUGUCCUCGUAUUGAGAAAGUGUGUAAGUUAUCCUUUGUUGGUCAUUCCCUUAGAGGACGUUGGUAUUUUGGGGUGCCUGAUCUUAUGAGGAAAUCUCGGUAAGAAUCUUGGGCUGGUAAGUUCGCCGGUUGCGAAUGAAAGAGGUUAUUUCGGUGAAGGUUUUAUGGAGGAACCAAUAGUCCAAGGAAGCUUCUUGGGAGGCGAAAGGGAACAUAAAUUCCAAGUAUCUGCAAUCGUAUUUUUUUCAAGAACUCAUGAUUGAGAUGUGUGUUUGUAUUCCUGACUUGGUCUAUGUCUUUGAUAGGCAAUUGAAGUCCCAAAAGCUUGUGAUUGAUUCAUGCCUCUCUUAGACAAGGGAUUUGAGUUCCCAAUGCUUGAGUUACUUUAUAUCUUGGAAAGUCGGAGGGUUUAUUCCCAUAAGCUUUGAUUUGAUCAAGUGUUUUUGAUAAAUGGUGGGCUGAAAUCCCAAGGAUAUUGAAACAAAGUGAUUAAAUGAUAAAGAUCAUGAUAUGUGUUGGAUUGUACCAUUGUUGUGUGCCUUGUCCUCAAUUGUGUGAAGAUUGCUUUGAAGAGUUCUAAUGUGUAAACUUGAGAAUGAACCUGCCUUAACCAUCAUUAGAGGACGAAUGAUCCUAAGUAGGGGAGAAAGAAACUCCCAAGAAUGUGGUCUUGCAAAAAGUUUUGGUUGAUUGGCAAUGGUCAUGAUAUGUGUUGUAUUGUAUCCUUGUUGUGUGUUGUUUUUACCUUGUGUAAAGGUUACCAUGAUGCAUGUUGACAUGUUAACUUGUGUAUAUGCUUGAUUUAACCUUCCUUCAUAGACAAAUGAUCCUAAGUGGCGAAGAAGUAAAUCACCUAGACUUGAACCCUUGAGAAAAACUUUUGAUGUCUCUGGAGUGGAUACAGUUGGGGGUACUAGAGUCGUACAAUAGGUCAUGAGUCAUACUAUUCAUGCCCUCCCCUUUCGUAUCCUAACCAGUAUAUUAAGGUAACAUACUUUCCUCUAUACGACAAGGUCAUUCCUUGGUCGUAACCAAGUUUACAAGUCGUAUACUAGCCAACCGUAUAAAGUCUCAAACCUAGAGUGGACUAUUUUGGUCACGACUUGAGCUCAUGAUUGAAGGGUGAGUUGUACCCUUGGUUAUGACUCAAAGGUCCCUUUUCUUACCCACAAUAAUGUGGUUGACAUAGGAGAAGGAUAAGGUACAAAUUAGGGUACCACUCAUACCCUAUGUUACGGUUGCCAAAUGAACCAUGAGGGAGAGUCGUACCUCUGCACGUGUGUGUUUUUCAGCUUUUAACCAAAGAGAUUUUGGUCAUUUCCCUUUCCUGAAACCCUAAAUCCUUACCCUAUAUAAGUCGUGGUAGCAUCUUAAGUCUUCAUUUACAAGACUUAAACACUCUAAAGGCUCUUGGAAGAAAGAUUGGAGGCUAGGCUUUAGAGGUGUUCAUCUUGUGGUAGGAAGGAGAGUCAAGAUUGUUGGUUUGUCAUCUUGUUUAAGGCAUGUAUAUCUUCCCCUCUUUAAAUAACUCUAAACCCAUGUAUUUUACACUUGGAUUAGUAAGUGUACACAGUGGUUUUGAAUCAAAUGAAAAGGGUUUUACUACCUAACAAUGAAUAAUGAUAAUUCUUAUCUAUACUUGUGUAAAAAAUUGUUAUUAAUGGUAGAUUGCAUACGUGGAUGCUUGUUUUAUGUUGUUUAACAUAAGGGCCUUGAGUAAUACUAGUCUUGAUGAUAUCUACCAUGAAAAUUACCUUGAAAUAAGUAUGCACAAAAGGUGUUGUGAAAAUGUCUAAGGGAAAUGCCUAGCUACAUGUAGGAGAUGUAUUUAGUUAGGGAAAUGGCCUAAUGAGCAUGAAUGAUUGGUAAAUGUUAUGUUAAAGUUAUUGUGAGUUAUGUAUUGUGUAUUUGGUGAUAUUGUUGGAUCAAUGACUAAUAAGGUAUUGAAACCCUAAACAUGAUAAUGAACUUAUUGUAUGUGUUGAGCUUAAAUGUGGUAAGAAUAUGGUGAAAACUUGCUAAUGAAUUGUGAAUGGAUCUGUGGGUCUUGGUGAACCUAAAUAAUAAUAAUGAUGUGUUGAAUCAAGGCAUGUGGUCAAUUGAAAUGAUAAAUUGUUAAAUAGUUUUGUAAAGGUCAAAUGUGUAUCUAUUGAAUUGGCCUAGUGGACAUAAAUGAGUCAAAAUAAUGUCUAAAUGGAUAUGAAUGCUUGUAGAUGGUUGGUUAAGGCCUUGUUGGCCAUGUAUUGAGUUAUAAUGAUCGUGAAUGGUUGGAAAUGGUUGAUAUGAACCUUGUUAAGCAUGUAAUGGGUUAGAUUGUGACUUAAAUGGGGCAAUAGCCCUUUUUGUAUGAAUGUUUUUUAAUUGGUAUUAUGUUGGUGUGGUUAUCCAUGUAAUAUAUUAAACUAUGACCAUGUUGGUUUAAUGGCUAAGGAGAGGGGUUUAAUUUCUUAAACUUGGAUUUAAUUGUGUAUGGUACCAAGUGUGGUGAAAAUGUGAUAUGAUAUUGCUAAUGACAUGGGAAUGAUUGUUGCUGAGGGUCUUGAUGACCAUGAAUGAACUUGUAUUGUUUUAUGAACUAAGGCCUAACCUUGUGAGAAAUGGACAAAGAGGUUGGUGGAGAUCAUGUGAUGGUUUGUGGUGUUGAUGCACAUCCUUGAUGACUUGAAUGUCUCGAGAUGGGUUGAGUUCCUAUGUGAUGAAUUGAAUGGGUGCUAGUAUGUGCGUUGAGACGUGUUGGUUUGUGGUCCAAGUCCGCUGACCAUAUAAGGUGUGUUGGUUUGUGGUCCAAGUCCACUUACCAUAUAAGGCAUAUUGGUUCAUGGUCCAAGUCCGCUUACCAUGCAAAGCGUGUUGGUUCGUGGUCCAAGCCUGCUUACUAUAUAAAGUGUGUUGGUUUGUGGUCCGAGUCCUCCUAACAUAUAAGAUGUGACGGUUUGUGGUCCAAGUCCACUUACUAUAUAUGAUGUGACAGUUUGUGGUCUAAGUCCACUAUAAUAUAAGGUGUGACGAUUUGUGGUCUAAGUCCACUUACCAUAUAAGGUGUGACAGUUUGUGGUCCAAGUCCACUUACCAAAUAAGGUGUGACGGUUGGUGGUCCAAGUCUACUUACCAUACAAGGUGCAACGGUUUAUGGUCUAAUCCACUUACCACGUAAGGUGUAUCAAUUUUUCAUUUGUGUCAACUUACCAUAUAAGGUGUGAUGGUUUGUGGUCCAAGUCCACUUAUCAUACAAAGUGCGACAGUUUGUGGUCUAAGUCCACUUACCACGUAAGGUGUGUCAGUUUGUGGUUCGUGUCUACUUACCAUAUAAGGUGUGAUAACUUGAGGUUCAUGUCCUCUUGGAUAAUAUGUCGGAGUGGUUAAAGGUUCAAUACUUAUUGAAGGUCGCUAGUCCUUCUCUCCUUGCCUCACAAAUGUAUCCUAAAUGCAUGUUGUGACUCGUUACAGGAUUUGACUUGUUGUGUCACUAUAUGUAUAUAUGUGUUCAAUAUGCCUAUGCUUAUGUAAAUAUGAUCGCCUAUGAUGGACUGACAUAGAUUUGAACAAGUGUACUAUUUUCUCCCUAUCCUUGAGUUAUAUGCUAGCGUUCCAACCGUUAACUGUCCUUGGACGCUAAAUCCCCAUGCGACGUAGGGCCCAGAGCUUUUUCUUCUUUUCCUACGCAGUGAUUCAGUUAUUGAAGCAGUUUAUGCAUUGACUUUGAGUGGUGAUACUCCUUACUCUAGAGGUCAUUCUCCUUUUAGUCUUUUAUUUUUAUACUUAGUCUCUUUUAGGCUUGGUUUGGUUAUAGUCGAGGUCUUGUCCCGACACAUACAUUUAUUAAAUAUGGUUUUGUAUAGAGGUAUUGUGAACAACUGUGAACUUGGGCGUAGUUAUUAAAAAUGAAUCUCAUAAUGACUUAUGAUAUUAUUUCCGCUAUUCUAAUAUGUAAGUUGGAGUUCCUUCAACUCCUAUGGCAUAAUGAGUGUUUGGGUUGGGUUAUUGGGGCGACCUCCAUUUUAUGUGAGCUUGAGGUGCCCAUAAGACAUGGUCCAAAGUUUGGGUCAUGUCAUCAAUCCCCAGUAUGUUGGCCCAUAUUUAUUUUGAAGAGGUUUGUUAAGGUUGCAUAUGAGUUGGAGUUGCCUCAUAGUUUAAGCUUCGCUCGUCCAGUGUUUAAUGUUUCGAUGUUGAUAAAGUGUGUGGGUGAUGCUUCGACUGUUAUUCCUUGGAGUAGGUAGGUAUCACGAAUUUCUUAUCAUAUGAUGAAGUAUCAAUUGAGAUCUUCAAUUUGCAAUUUUUUUGUUACAAAUAAAGGACGUAGCUUCUAUUAAAGUUAUAUGGAGGAACCACAAGGUUGAAGAGGCUACUUGGGAAGCCAAAGAGGACAUGAAAUCCAAGUAUCUAUUCUUGAUUUUUGCUUUGGAUAAUUGUGUGUAAAGUAUGUGUUAUUCAUAAUAUCUUUGUUUUCUGACUUUGUUAAAGGAAUAGGUGAUUUCCUUGGCAUCUUAAUUUUCUGAAUUUGUUGAAGGUAAGAGUAGGGAAAUAUAGAGUCAAAUUGUGCUACUAAUUGCCUUGUCUCAUCAUUCGUGGACAAAUAAUCCAAGUGGGGGAGAAUUUAAAAAAGUUGAACACCCCGUAUUUUUCCCCUUGAUAAUUUCCUGGGCUUUGAGCUCACUUUUUUGGUUACGACCGGACCCCCUGAGUCGUAGGGUGUCUUGAUGACUUGUUGGGAUGAGUUGUACCCAAACCUGUAAGUUUGAGGCUUGAUCCUGCUCUGAGUACGAGUGUAUCACUAAGAGCUAUAAGGAUAUGUCAUGAGUCGUUAGGUGAAAUCAUAGGGUGUCUGGUGUAAGUCCCAAUUUUUGUUCUAUGUUGACUACGAUUUGAACCUACGAGUCAUAUGGUCUCAUUACGAAUGGGUUGGUCGAGUCAUAAGGUCGAUAGUGUAUUGGGGUACUAGUCACUGUCUUGGUUACGACUCGUGGUGACGAGUCAUAUAGUGUGGUUACAAGUCAAGGGGUCAACUCGUGGUCAAAGGCGAUACUUUUUCAUCUUUAAGUUGAGGGCACUCUAGAUAUUUCCCACUUUAACCCCUUGGACCCCACGACUUAAAGCCUUUCUUGGGACUUUAUUAUCACAUCAUUCACAAUAAAACACUCCUAAAUUCUCUCUCAAACUCUCUGUUAAAGUUAAGGCUAGGGUUUCAAGAGGUUGAUCAAUUUAGGCUCUCAAGGGAGGUUUCUAUUUGUACAUCUUACUAUUUCAGGCAUGUUACUCUUCCUUCAUUGUUAAUUUUGCAAGAUCGUUUGAUUUAAAGUGUUGUUCGUAAGAUUAAUGUUUUGGUUUUGAAAACAAAGGUUGGUGUUUUAAAUGUCAUGAAUUGAACAAUGUUUCUCAUGGUUUAUAUAUAUGAUUUUUAUGCUAUUAAUAUGGUUUUUAACUUGUAGGUGCAGAGUAUGGUGAUUGAACUAGGGAAUUGUCAUCUCCAAAACUUAUGGCUUUUAAAGUGGUUAUAACCCCAACCCCAUAAUGUGAAAUUGGUUUUAGUUAUGAGAACUAUAGGAAUUUGUAAAAUUUAAACUAGUCUUGAACUAUUGCAUGAUAUAAAGAAGUAUUUAAAAUAUAAUGGUAUGGGUUAAUGAAAAAAAGGGUGUCGGUGUUCCUCAAUGUGUAUUAAUGAAUAAAGGGAGUUGUUCUCCCCAAAAUUAAUGGAAAUUGUUUUGGCAUGAUGUGUUACCUUACAAGUGUAGUUGGUAUGAAGAUACCAACAAUGUAUGCCUAAAAGUAUAUUGUGGUUCAUUGAAUGGGAAUGUGUCAAAAUUGUUCUAAUGGCGCUCUAAUAAGGGUUGUGUAGUUGAGUUAUGAAAGUGGAGGUCCGAGUGACCGAUACUAGAAACUGUGUUUGCCGAUGCGGGGUCAAAAUGACCAGGGAGGUUUGGGUCCCCCAUACAACUAGUUCAUGAUUAGGGAGGUUUGAGUUCCCCGUAAAUCAUUAUAUGAUUGGGUGCUUAAGUAACCUUAGUAUAUGUUAGAGGGUUUGAGUGCCCCAUGUACAUAUAUAUAAGAUUAUUUUUUAAUAUGUGUGGCUACAUGCACUGGGACUCGGCCAAGGGGUAAAAGUUGGGGCCCAUAUAGCCCGUGGGUAUUGUUAUAUGAUGGAGUGUUUUAGGGCAUGAUAACUCAGGGGUUAUAGAGCAUCUCCCCCAUGGAAUAUUAUGUCCCUAGAAGAAUACUAACUUGAUUGAGAUACUGAGGAAAACUAGGACGAUGCACAGGGCACCUACGAACUGAAUCAUGACUGAAUAUCUGGGAUCUGAAACUGAGACAUAAUACACGAACUGAGCUGAUCUUGCAACUACUAGGACUUUGUAUCUUGGAAUAGUUACAUUCCUGAGAUUUCUGAUAGUAGGACUAGGUGGAAAAAGGGGAAACCAUACCAUACGAACUUGUGGCCUGAUUGCUAAACUGAAUUACUGGCUGAUCGAUCUAACUCAUACUGAAAACUUAUACCAAACUGAAGUACUUCUUCACCUGAGACUACUGAAAAUAUUUGCAUGAGUGCUGAGCACGAAUGCCUAAACAUACUAACUUAUUUGAUUAACUGAAUCACUGAUAGCUGAAUACUGGGUCUGCAAGAUAGAACUGUACUUAGUCUUGAAUAACUGGACUGGAACUACAGAUCAUUAUGCAUAGGAGAUACAAAAUGACCGAGUGACACGAGAAAACUGAGCAUGAAUUAAGGGUAACUGUAUUAUUUGAGAAUGCAACACCAGGAGUACAACACGAUUCUGGAAGUCUUGUAAACUGAGGUACUGAAAGGCUGACAACUGAGUGAUUGAUAACUGUACACUAUGGUCGAGUAAACUCGAAACUGAAUUAAGUUACCGACCCGAUUAUUGGGCUAGGACUGAGAUUGUAGCUAAGACGAUAAUUGAGACUGUAGCUGUAACUAAGAUUGUAGCUGGGAAUGAACUGGUACUGAAGUACUAAAUUAUGAUGGCUAAGUAACUAAUAACCAAAAGUCAUGGUUUUGUAGGACUAUCUGAGUCCUUUACUGAAUAUUAAUUACUGAACUAACUCCGUAACUGAAACUCGAGGGAUAGAACAUCAUCCCAACGGAUUCACCAAAGGAUCUAAACUGAGGGUAUACGUGACAUAGUCUAAGUUUGGCUGAUCAUUAGGAGUAGAGCAUGAGUUAUGUGGGCUGAACAUAAUGUAAGACAGGACAUGAGUGUAUAAGUCAUAAGCUGCAUGACCUGAGUCUGAAAUUUUUGUACUCAUGGAACAUGAUUCGUACAACUGAGUGAACUGGGAUUCCUCAUACUAGGAACUUGAAAUGCACACGAUCCUAAGGAAAGAGCGUGAAUGUAAGUUGUGUUCAUGGAACUGAAACGUAAAGCAUGCAUAAGUAUCGUGAUUGCUAAAGUACAAAACUUUGCACUGAGGUAGGAAUGGGUCAGGAAUCAUCUUCCCUUACUGAAUUUUUUACACAUACUGUCACCACUACCAAAAUCCUGAAGGCCUGACUUUCUGAGACAUCAUAAUCGGACAGUUCUUGAAUACCUAUCGGCCUGUGUUAGACUGACUCACUGGUGUAGAGACUGGAAAGGUUCUGUUAACAUUUGGUCUGACCUUAAAGUUACAAAAGAAAAAGAAGCUUCUAAAACUGAAGAAGCGUAAACAUGCAAGUGGAAGAACUGUAACAUACUAAUGACUAUAUCAGGAAAACUUUCCUGAUCUUGUCGGGACUGAAAUGCAUAGAGUCUGUUUGGGGGUUACCUACUGAUAGCGCUGGAAUUGGUACCCUGCUGAUUCGAGCGACCGGACUAAGCUGAAGAACGAUCGUGCUGACUUCGCGGACCGGGCUUAAGACAGUCUCGGACCUUGUGACCUGACUCGCCACAUCCGAAACACACAUUACUGUUGGCUCUACACACACCCUUAAGAUACUUACCACAUUUUUCUCAAAGCCGAUGAGUGCGAAUAAUGCUUGCACUAUUCUGAGAUUUGGAGCCUGGUGCCCUAUCUUUGCUACAGUUUCUAAACUUAGGAACCGAAGCAUUGGCUGAGGAAGGAGCUGGAAGUGAAAAUUUCUGGCUAUGCGGAGAAUGGUUACCACCCUGCGACCCUGGCUGAGAAAAACUAUAACUACCUAUUCUAGCUCUCUUAUUCUCUUUCUCAUUCUUCUUAAGUUUCUGCUCUUCAAUCUGUUGACCAUGGACCAUAAGUUUAGAUAUGUCCAUUUCCUUAAUCAACAUCUCACUCCUACACUCCUUAACCACUCUAGCUGAAACCCCAGACACAAACUUACUCAUUAUGGAUCUACUGUCUGCUACUACAUGGGAAGCAUACCUUGCUAACUGGGUGAACUUAAGGGAGUAUUCUUUUACACUCAUGCUACCUUGUCUGAGAUUGAUGAACUCUAACACUUUGUCUUCUUUAUGCUCUAAGGGAAAGAAUCUAUCUAAGAAGGUUGUAGCAAACUCUUCCCAUUCUAUGGGUUUUGCAUCUAUACCCCUGUCUACCUUCCACUAUUUAAACCACGUAUGGGCUACAUCUUGUAGCUGAUAAGUGGGUAACUCUGCACUCUCACUGGAAAUCACUCUCAUGAUGUCAGUGACUUUCUGAACCUGGUCAAGGAACUCCUGUAGACCCUUUUCGGACUUAGAAUCGGAGAAUAGGGGAGGAUUCUUUCGGGUGAAGUCCCGAAUCCUAGCUGCAGCUAAAUUGGCCAAUGGCUUGGCCGGAAUAACAGUUGGCCGUUCAUUCAGAGUUGUGACUGAAUUUGCUAGAGUAGUAAAUGCAGUCCUGAAUUACGCAUGGGAAACAUGUUCGUCCAGGGGAUCUGCUUGGAUGGGCUGAGGUGCUGACUAAUUAACGAUUCUCCUAUCGCUAGCCCCUUUGGAAGGCAUAUUCUGUAAACGAGAGGAAGAAGCGGAUUAGACUGAGAAAUUAAUUGGAGAUUAUACUCACUGGCAUGACAUGAAUACUGAAAGAAGGGAAAUUGUUCCUAAAAUAUCUCAUAGCCUCCUGCACAUAAGUUUAGUACACAACACACCCAUGCACAAGACUCUACUAGAUGCGGUUUUUCAGACUUCCUAGGACACUAUUAAACCUUAAGAUCUGAUACUAAGUUUGUAACACCCCAAAUCUGGUAUUCGAAAUGUUACACGGUGCUCAUGACCCCGAAGGACCACAAACUAACCCAUGACUGAUAUCUGUAAUUGAGCACUGAAUAAUAUACUAUAAAUAUGCGGAAUAUAAGUUGUAAGGCCAUAAGGUUCAAAACUUAACUAAUACUGAAUAUAAAACACUGUCUGUAAUGGGGUUUGAUAAUACCCAAAAAUAAACUGUAUAAAACAUGUUGUAGUCUCAAAGCCUUUAAACUGUCUGAAAUCUGUGAAAUUGAUGGGACAUGUCCCCAACUAACUCCGAACUACUGAAAUAAUACAAUAAUCAUGCUAUCCUCGAAUGAUGAGGACUCACUGCUAGUCUGGCUGCUGAACGUCUGAUCUACUAAGGAUGCUUGGGAGCUCGUGCUUCUAAACCUAUGGUAUAAAACACCAUAGCGCAAAUACGCCAGUACGUUGAAUGUACUGGUAUGCAAGUGAGGUGGCUGAAUGCAAUGGUUCAAAUGCAUGAACAAUACUAACUGACUGGAUAACAUAAAUGUGAGAAUACAUGCAUGAAUACAUAACUGAAACUGAAUACGUGGUAAUACUGACUACUGAGUCUGAAUACUGAUAACAUGAGCUACUGAUAACUGAGAUAACUAAUACAGAGUGACUGUAUCUGACAGUCUAGAUUUUGAUGAAACUAGUUGAGUUUCAUACUAUACUAAGUGACUGUAUCUGACAGUCCUAAUAUCUGAAGAACUAUCUGAGUUUUAUUACUGAGACUGAGUGACUGUAUCUGACAGUCCUGAUUCUGUUACUGAAACUGUGGGAGAAUUCAUCUAACCGACAUGCCCCUAAUAAGCAUUAUAGCUGAGUUGGGGUCCAAUCUGUAACCCCAAUUGGAAGGGUGUCAAUACCACGCUACUAGUAAGGACAAGCUGUGAGUGACCCUCAUCUGACAGUGUCCCCAAAGGAGAAUGGUGGGACCCUCAUCUGACAGUGUUAAUCCACCUUAUCAACCCUCAACUGAUAGUGUUGAUGUCUCAACCUAUGCUGGCUACAUAGUUCUGGAACAUAAGAAUUCCUUCUAAGAAUCACACCCUCUGCUGACAGUGUGUGUUCCCAUCCUUGGGUUCACUCGGUGCUGAAUUCUACUCCCAUCUAAAUAGACACUGAAAUGGACUGGACUAAUCUGUUACUGAUUGUACUGAUUAACUGGACUGAACUGAGUUCACUGGAUUUCGUUGACUGAUAGAAUACUACUGAGAUCUGAUAACUGACUAAGAUUUCUGAGAUUUCUGAGUACUGAGAUUAUUGAGAUUACUGAGUACUGGACUGAUACUGAAUUUAUUGAGUUUUCCUGAGUCAUGUGACUGACUGAAUUCUACUAAUUGUGGCUUGAUUAAGAGUAUCAUGAAAACUGACACUGGCUCUGGGCAUACAGCUAAAUUGUCGGGUACAAGUACCCCCAGGACUCAAUAGAAUGAAACUGACAAGACUUGACACUUCUUGAACACAUGACCAAUAUCAACAAUUCAUAAUACAAUAAGUUGGGGAUUUUAUGAAGUGCAUGGUUAUCAUAAUUUUGUACAUGGAAGAAUGCAUAUAAUCAAUGUCAUAAUUCUAUAUUCAAGCAUCAUGAGCAUUUCAACAAAUAUCUACAUUGCACAUCAAUAGCAUGGGAGUAAUUUGAACAUAAGGGUAAAAUAUGAAUCCAUCACUUAAGUCACAAUUAAGCCAUAUUACAGAAUUUCUAGUCUCUUAGGCAUUUUGUCAAACACUUAGGGUGCAUGACUUAGGGCAUGGCAUAAUCAUCAAAUUAACGUGUCAUAACCAACUAAAAUUCAUAGUUUUCAACUCACAUGCUAACAUAUUCUCAUAAAAACACAUAAAGAUUCCAACUUGGGAAUCAUACAACAACAACCACAUGAACAUAAUCACACAUAGCAUGAAUAUCAUAAUUCAUAGUUUAAAACUUGAUUCUUGGGCUUCAUGGACGAAAGGAAUCCAUCAAUAAACACUAUACAUACCUGAGUUAAUGAAUUUGGAAGGAAUGAUGAAGAGUUCUUGUGAUUUGUCCCUUGAAUUUGAGAGCUAGAGUUCUUGUUCUUAAGAGAAGGAUUUUGUUCUUGAGAGAGUGAGAAAAAGUGAUGUAAUAGGGUUUUUAGGGCAUAAUUUCAUGGUUAAAGGCUGAUUUGGGUCAUGAAAAAAGACUCAAUUGCCCUCAGAAGGUUUUUAUUUUUCGUCACUAAAAACUCGAUUUGGGCACCUGGCGCGACGCGACGCUAUUGCGGCAUGCCACUAAACUGGGCUGACGGCGCGACGCGGUGAAAUCGCGUUGCAAUACUGGAUGGGACCUGGAAUCUUACCGCAAUGCGGUGGUAUCGCGUUGAGACACUGAAAAUUGACAACUCUAGAUUUGAGCCUUGGCGCGACGCACCAUAAUCGCUGAGGCCCACUGGAUUUUGACGAUUAUCAUUUUGGCAUACUCCGCGACGCGUUAAUGGCUCAGGUGGCACACUGUCUUACUAAAAUGGCUCUAAAUGGCUCUAACUCUUCGCCCGGGUGUCGAAUUUAGGCGAAUUUGAUAUUGAUGGAAAGCUUAUCCAAUUUCCCACACAAUAAAAAGUAAAAAUCUUGAAAAUUCCACAUGUAUAAUAGUAGAUUCAUCUUUUAAAGCAAGUCUUUAACAUUUUUGGGACAAUUUAAAGCUAGGUAGAAGUACGGGAUAUUACAAUAUCACAUUCCAAAGACAGCUUUCAGAACUCUGUAUGGUCACUUUGAAUUUAUGGUUAUGUCCUUCGGGCUAACAAAUGCCAUUGCAGCCUUCAUGGACUUGAUGAAUAGGGUGUUCAAGUAGUACUUGGACAUGUCAUCAUAGUCUUCAUAGAUGAUAUCCUUGUCUAUUUCCGUAAUGAGAAUGAUCAUGAAAAUCAUCUGAGGGUCGUAUUGCAGACCCUUAGAGAUCAUCGAUUAUUUGCUAAGUUCAGUAAGUGCAAAUUUUGGCUAAGAUUAGUAGCUUUUCUUGGCCAUAUAAUUUCUGGCGAUGGCCUCUAAGUUGACUCUCAAAAGACCGAAGCUGUGAGAAACUAGCCUAAACCCAUCUCUCCAUCAGAUAUAGGAGUUUUUAAGGUUGGGAUGGCCAGUAAAGACGAUUUGUUAAAAGGUUUUCUUCUAUUUCUUCCCACAUGUCUCAAUUGACUCAAAAGAAGGUUAAGUUUCAGUGGACAGAUUCAUGCGAGAAGAGUUUUUAGGAGUUGAAGACUCGACUCACUUUUGCCCUAUUUUUGACUUUGUCAGAUGGUUUAGAUGGAUUUGUAGUUUACUGUGAUGCUUCCAGAGUUGGUCUUGGUUGUGUUUUGAUAAGCAGAGAGGCAAGGUCAUAGCCUACGCCUCCAGAUAUCUUAAACCCAAUGAAAAGAACUAUCAUACCCAUGAUCUUGAGUUGGCAGCUGUUGUUUUUGCCUUGAAAAUUUGGAGGCACUAUCUUUAUGAGGUUCAUUUUGAUGUGUUCACGGAUCAUAAAAGUCUGCAGUACAUGUUCAUGCAGAAAGAUCUAAAUCUUCACCAAAGAAGGUGUCUUGAGUUGUUAAAAGAUUAUGAUAUGAGUGUGUUGUAUCAUCCGGGCAAGGCUAAUGCAAUGGCGGAUGCUCCUAGUAGACUAUCUAUGGGUAGUGUUGCUCAUGUUGAUGGAGAUAAGAAGUUAGUCCAUGAGGUUCCUCAGCUUGCUAGAUUAGGUUUUCAGUUGGUUGAUUCAGCUGUAGGUAGUAUGUGAGUUCACAAUGGUUCGAAAUCUUCAUUGGUUGCUGAAGUAAAAGAAAAACAAGAUAGGGAUUCCAGUUUGGUUAAGAUGAAUAACGCAGUUAGAGAUCAGAAAAUAGAGGUUUUCUCCUAAGAGGGAGAUGGUGUGCUUCAUGGUCAAGGCAGGUUAUGUGUUCUGUGUGUUGAUGGUCUGAGAUAGCGAAUACAUGCAGAAGUGCAUGGUGUACGAUACUCUAUCCACCUAGGAGUCACUAAGAUGUACCGUGAUUUGCAAUAAAUCUAUUGGUGGAGUGGUAUGAAGAAGGAUAUCGCAGAAUUUGGGGCUAAGUGUGCAAACUGUCAGCAGGUUAAGGUUGAGAACCAAAGGCCUAGUGGUACACUUCAGGAGUUUAGCAUCCCCACUUGGAAGUGGGAAGUGGUGAAUAUGGACUUUGUGAUAGGAUUUCCUCGUACGUUUCUCAGUAUAAUUCGAUUUGGGUCAUUGUAGAUAGAAUUACCAAGUCAGUCCAUUUCUUGCCAGUUCAUACUUCAUUUUUAGCUGAGGAUUACGCCAAGCUUUAUCUUAGGGAGUGGGUGAAAUUGCAUGGGGUUUUGUUUUCCAUCAUUUCAAAUAGAGGUACUCAGUUUACCUCUCACUUUUGGAAGGCUUUUCAGAAAGGUCUUGGUACCCAAGUUCAUCUCAGUACAACUUUUCAUCCUCAGACUGAUGGUCAGACAGAGAGGACCAUUCAGACCUUAGAGGACAUGUUGAGGGAAUGUGUUAUUGACUUUGAAGGUAGCUGGGAUGACCAUUUACCGUUGAUUGAGUUUGCCUAUAACAAUAGUUAUCACUCCAAUAUUCAGAUAGCACCUUUUGAGGCUCUCUAUGGAGGGAGAUAUAGGUCUUAUAUUUGGUUGGUUUGAAUCAGGUGAGGUUGCUUUGAUAGGGCCAGAUUCAGUGUUUGGCGAUAGAGAAAGUUCAGUUAAUUCAGGAGAGGCUGAAGACAGCCCAAACCCGUCAGAAAUCUUAUGCAGACGUGAGGAGAGAAAAUCUUGAGUUCAAAGUUGGUGACUUGGUAUAUAUGAACAUUUCACCAAUACAGGGAGUGAAGAGGUUUUUUCAAAAGGGGAAACUCAGUCCCCGCUAUGUUGGCCUAUAUAGAAUCUUGAAUUAUUUCGGGAAGGUAGCUUACAUGCUUGAGUUUCCUACAAAUUUGACAUCAGUACAUCAAAUGUUCCAUGUUUCAUUGUUAAAGAAAUGUAUUAGUGAUCCAGUUUUUGUUGUUCCUUUGGGAAGUAUGGAUGUUAAGGAUAGCCUUUUCGAAGAAGUCCCAAUUGAGAUCCUUAAUCGUCAGAUUCUUAGGCUAAGGAAUAAAAAAGUUUCCUUGGUUAAAUUUUUAUGGCGGAAUCAGUCUGUUGAGGGAGAUACUUGGGAAACAGAAGCAGAUAUGCGAACCAAGUACCUUCAUCUUUUCUCUGCAAACUCCAAUUUAGCUUGAGGUAAUGAUUUUUCCUUAAAUCGACUCUUUUUUGUUCUGAGCUUCAGCUAUAUAACCAUUCUCAUGACAUUGCAUGCAUUCACGAAAUUAGUUCAGCUCAUGUAGCAUGUUUCAGACUCAGUUAUGUAAUCAUGUUUUAAGUCAUGCAUGUUUCAUAUACAAUCUUAGUUGCCUUAGUGUUCUUAGUUUAACCUGUCUCAUUCGAGGACGAAUGUUCUAGUCUCAUUCGAGGACGAAUGCUCCCAAGGGGGAGAUAUUAUAAUACCCUGUACGAUCAUAAGCUUAGUUCAGUUGUAGUUGCAUGCUUAAAGGGCCAAGGCUUGAAAUUUUCACUAAGUGUUAAGGACUUAGUCAUUUUCAAGACCCCUAAACUUCACAGAUUUUAAUUUUCUUCCCGACCUCAAGAUGUCAGUUUUUGAGUCGAUUCAUGUUUAGAAAGGUUAAUAGUAUGCCUCGAGUGAGUUUAUGGAUCUUUGGACGAGGGUCGGGACAUUUUUGGAAGGCUAAACCAGUGAGCCAACACGAUAAACUCGUGGCACAUUGGUCUCUCCCAUGGUACCAAGGUCUAUGAAGCUUUGCUUUCUCCCUCGGAGAAAGUGACGCAAUGCGUUGCUUUCUCCCUCUGAGAGAGAGACGCGACAUGUUGAUUAUUCCCGCACAGCUUCUAGAUUUAAGUGCCCAAAGGGCAUUUGAGUCAUUUCCCUCAACCCAAUUCGUCCUUAACACAAUUUGGAACUUCCAUAGAGGCGUUAUUUACCCCUUUUACUCAAAAUUUCUCUCAAUAAACCCUCCUCUUUUCCCAAGAACAAAACCCAAGCUCUUUCUCAAGAAAUCGAGAGUUCAAGCUUCCAAGUUCAAGAAACCCUCAAGAAAUUUUCAAGAAUUAAUCUAAUUGAGGUAUGUGGGGUAUUCAUCAAUGGGUUCCUUUCACCCAUUGAGCCCAAAAACCCUCUUCUUGAUUAAAGUAUGAGUUUUUCCUUCAUUAUGAGAUUUCACAUGUUCAAGAUGAAUUCAAUCCAUGUUUUUUCUUAGUAAACUGAACUAAAUUCAUGUCCUCAUAUGGUCCUGUGCAAAUUAGGUCAUGUAAUGCUUUGGAUUUCAAUUCCUUAUGUAUAUUUUUAUUGAAUCCAUGCAUUUAUGAAUUUAAAACAUGUAAGCAUGUUGGUUUCCCACGAUUUACACCUUCCUGUGUUCAAAUUCUUAUACUUUUGUAGUUAUUGAAAUUUACUACCUUUGGGUCUCUGAAUUAUGAUUUCCUAUUACCGUUUAAAUUGUUUUCAAAUUUUUUAAUCAUUCAGUGCUGGCAGGUUAUGAGCACCCAAUACCUAUUUGUUUUACAUGUUUUUAUUUCUAAGUAACAAGUCAGCCAAAACAUGGUUUUAUUUUCAUAUUUAGAACAUCAUAUUCAUGUUGAGCACUCACAAGUACAGUACCAUGUCAUGUUAAACAACUAAUAACACCAAUGUCAUUUAGUUGGGAGUAACACUUAGCACUGAGUGAACGUAGGUAUGUCGUCUCUCUCGUCAGUUUGGCAUGGGACGUUAGUAACAGUCAUUAGGUUCCAGACCUACGGCGCCACCGUAGAUUAUGAGGGGUCCCGUCAAUUAGGCAUGACACCCUUAUCCUUCAGGACAUCAGCCUGGUGGAUCUACAUCGGCAGUUUUGUGUUGGUACACCUGGCAAAUUACCAGCACCCUUCCAACUGGGUUACAUGUUGGACCCCAAUAGCUUAGAUUGGGGCAUGUCGGUUGUAGUUAGCUUCCACGAUCUCAGUGUAGUCUUCAGAAUACAUUAGUUCAGGUUUGUAUGACCAAGUGUACAGAUUUCAGUUAUUCACAUUUUAGAUUAUUUUAGUAGUAUGUUCAUACUUGGUCCUGCACUCUCUGUGUUACAUGUUCAUGCAUCCAAGUUUAGUUAUUAUAUGUAUUUCAGUUGGUCCUUAUCUUACAUGACAGUACAUUAAAAGUAUUGAUCGCAUACUUUUCUUUUGUGCUAUGUUGUCUUAUAAAAUAGGUCCGGACGCUCAGUUUUCUGACCAUUCUUAGCCGGUUCAGCGUUAUCCGGCAGGAGUAGUGGUGAGUCCUCAUCCAUCGAGGACAUGAUAUAUUUUUAUAAUUAUUUCAGUAAUGUCCUUUUUGUUCAGUCAGUCUGAGUUAUUUGGGGGUUUGUCCCAUCAACUCUUCAUGAUGUUAGAGGCUUUUAGACAAUCGGUUAGACAGUCAGUCAAUUCUUUCAGUUUUUAUCAGUUGUUUCAAACACAGACAGAUAGUUAGUUUCCAAUAUUUUUAUUAGAUAUUUUAGACAUGUCAUUACUAUGUAUUUUAGUUUUCAGAUUUAUAGCAUCUUAUCAGCUUAUCUUCCACACAUGUGUUGUCUUACUAUUUUACUCGGUGCUCUCACCAAGUACUAGCUCAUGGGUUGUGGCCAUAAGUACUGUUGUCUCGACUAGGAAGUAGCCUAGGGUCGUGAAAAUAAGAAGUUUAGAUUUUCUAAUUGGGGUGGAGGUCAGCAGCAGAGUGGUAGAGAUGGUGGAAAGUGGUCUAAGAUAAGUGGUAGGGUUCUGGUUCCUACUCUACAGCUAGUGAUCCAUAUCCAAAGCCAGCAUUAUAGUGGAUUUAGGGUGCAGGGCACUCAAUCUCAGGCUGGUGAGGCUCACUCCGCUCCAUCAUAUCCUUCUUAUAGAUUUGGUGAGCAGGUGCAUCAUGGGUAUUGUGAAGAGGAGAGGAAUAAGUGUGGCCAGAUUAGUCACUUGCAGAGAGAUUGUACUUAUAAGGUUGCUUCAGGGGCAAAUAAAAUUCAUGUUUCAACUUCAUCGACUCCUGCACCAAAGGGUGCUGCUUAUGCUUCUAGUACCACCACUGGUUGAAAUUGCUUGUAUGCUCUUGCUACCUGCCAAGACUCAGAGGCAUCUCCCAAUGUUGUAACUGGUAUGUUAUGACUCUUUUCUCGUGAUGUAUAUUGAUUUCUUGAUCCGGGAUCAACUCUUUCUUAUGUGACCCUACAUGUGGCUAUGCAUUUUGGUUCGGUCCCAAGUGUAUCCCUGGUCCCUUUUAUGUUUCUACCCUAAUGGGUGACUCGGCGGUUGCUAGAAAAGUCUAUAGAGGUUGUGUGGUACUUGUUGGUGGUAGAGAAACUCUGGUAGAUCUGAUAGAAUUAGACAUAGUUGAUUUUAAUGUCAUAUUGGGGAUGGAUUGGUUGUAUUCGUGUUAUGCCUCCUUAGAUUGUCGAACCUGUAAGGUCAUGUUUAAAUUCCCUAAUGAGUGAGCAAUUAAGUAGGAAAGGGGUUCUCUAGUGCCUAAGGGAAGGUUCACAUCAUAUUUUAGAGCUCGAAAGCUAAUUUCCAAGGGAUGUCUUUAUCAUUUGAUAUGGGUUAAAAAUUUCAACUCCUUUAUUGACAUAUGUUCCCGUGCUUAAUGAAUUUCCCAAGGUAUUUCAUUAUGAUCUUCCUGGUUCCCUCCUGAUAGGGAGAUUGAUUUGGGGAUUGACCUUAUUUUGGACCUCGUCCUAUCUCUAUCCCUUCUUUUAGAAUGUCUUUAGUUAGUUGGAGAAGCUUAAAGAGCAGCUGAAAGACCUCUUCAACAAGGGUUUUAUCUGUCCUAGUGUGUUUUCGUAGGGUGCUCCUGUUUUUUUAUACGUAAGAAGAAUGGUUCCCUUCAAAUGUGCAUCGAUUAUCGUCAGUUUAUUAAGGGUACUGUGAAGAAUAUCUUCUUCCUCUUGUUGACCAACUUCAGGAUGCUAGGUUUAUCUCUAAGAUUGAUCUUAGGCCCAGUUAUCAUCAGCUAAAAAUUAGGGAAGUGGAUAUCCCUAAGAUUGUCUUUCGAAUACGGUAUGGUCAUUAUGAGUUCUUAGUCAUGCCUUUUGGUUAAACUAAUGCCCCGACGAAAUUCAUGAACUUGAGGAAUAGGGUCUUCCGUUAGCUUCUAUAUCGUGUUUAUAGAUGAUAUUCUAGUGUAUUCCAAGAGCGAGGUGGAUCAUGUCGAUCACCUUCGUAUCAUGUUGCAAACCUUGAAAGACCAGCAUUUUUAUGCUAAGUUUUUGAAAUGCGAGUUCUAGUUGAAAGUUGUUACUUUUCUAGGUCAUGUCAUUUCUAGUAAAGGUAUCAUGGUGGAUCGGCAGAAAGUUGUAGUGGUUAAAAAGUGGCCUAGGCCCACAACUUCAAUCAAUAUUCAGAGCUUCUUGGGUUUAGACGAUUACUAUAGGAAAUUUGUGAAGAGUUUCUCGACUAUGCUGCCCCACUAAGUUGACCCAGAAGAAUGUGAAGUUUUUGUAGUCUGACGCUUGUGAGGGUAGUUUUGAGAAUCUGAAAGAUAGGUUGACUUCAGCUCCAGUUUUGACUUUGCCUGAAGGCACUGAUGGUUUUGUAGUCUAUUGUGAUGCAUCUCGUGUGGUAAUUGGUUAUGUAUUGAUGUAGCAUAGUAGAGUGUUGGCCUAUGCUUCUAGGCAGUUGAAAGUUCACGAGAAGAUUUACCCAACUCAUGACUUGGAUUUGUUGGUUGUGGUGUUCGCAUUAAAGAUCUAGCAUCACUAUUUGUAUGGAGUCCAUGCAGAUAUCUUUUCUAAUCACAAGAACCUGCAAUAUGUGUUCACCCAGAAGGAAUUGAAUCUCAAGCAGAGAAAGUGGCUGGAGUAGCUGAAAGAUUAUGACAUGAGUCUCCACUAUCACUAAGGUAAAGCUAAUGUGGUUGUUUAUAAUCUUAGUAGCUUAUCCCUAGGGAUUUGGUGAAAGAUAUUCACCGUUUCGCUAACCUUAGAGUUCGUCUCUUGGACUCUAAGGAUGGUGGUGUGUUUGUAUAAGAGGUGGCGAAGUCAUCCCUUGUUGCUGAGAUAAAGGAGAAGCAGGUACUGGAUUCUGUCUUAAUAAAGAUUAAAGGGGAUGUGGGAUAGCAAAAGGUUAUAGCUUUUGGGAUUGGUAGAGAUGGUAUCUUAAGGUACUAAGGCAGAUUAUGUAUUCCCGAUGUAGAUGGGAUGAGAGAGAGGAUCUUGGUUGAGGCUCAUGAGUCACAUUUUUUCAUUCAUCCCGGUUCGAUAAAGAUGUAUCAUGAUCUUAAGGAGAUUUACUAGUGGAACAAUAUGAAGUGAGAUAUGGCCAGUUUUGUGGCAAAAUGUAUAGUGUGAAAACUAGUUAAAGUUGAGCACUUAAGGCCUGGUGGGUUGACUUAAGAGAUUAAAUUGCCGGUGUGGAAAUGAGAGAAAUAAUAUAGAUUUCGUUAUCGGUCUUAGAAUCAGUUUGAUUCAAUUUGGGUCAUCAUGGAUAGGAUGACUAAGUCUGCUCACUUCUUGCCAGUGAAGAAUAAUUAUUCGACAGAGGAUUAUGCGAGGUUGUUCCUCCAAGAAAUUGUGAAGUUGUAUAGGACACCUAUUUCUAUCAUGUCAGAUCACAGUACUCAGUUCUCAUCGCAUUUUUGGCGUUCGUUUCAGAGAGGUUUGGGAACUAAAGUGAGCCUUAAUACUGCUUUCCACCCGUAGUCGGAUGGGCAAGCGGAAAGGACUAUUCGGACAUUGGAAGAUAUGCUUCGGUCUUAUGUGAUUGACUAUGGUGGUAGUUGGGUUGAUCAUUUGCCUCUUAUAGAGUUUACGUUUAAUAACAGCUACCACUCUAGUAUUGGGAUAGCUCCAUUUAAGGCGUUGUAUGAUAGGAGGUAUAGCUCUCCUAUUGGGCGGUUCGAGGUUGGUGAGGUGGAAAUGUUUCGCCUGGAUUUGAUUCACCAAGUAGUGGAUAAGGUGAAGGUGAUUCGGGAGAGACUUCAAGCUGCCCAAAGUUGCCAAAAGUCCUAUGCGGAUGUGAGACAUAGGUAAUUAGAGUUUGAGGUUGGUGAUUGGGUGUUCUUGAAGGUAUCUCCCAUGAAGGGUGUAAUGCAGUUUGGGAAGAAGGAGAAGCUCAACCCCCGGUUUAUUGGCCCGUACUUGGCUUUGAAGAGGGUUGGUGAGGUUGUGUAUGAGUUGGAGUUGCCUCCUAGUUUGAGCUUCGUUCAUUCGGUGUUUCAUGUUUCGAUGUUGAGAAAGUGUGUAGGUGAUCCUUCGACGGUUAUUUCUUUGGAGCAGAUGGGUAUUUCGAAUUUAUGACCGUAUACGAAAGUCUCGAUUGAGAUCUUGGAUCGACAAGUUCGUCGAUUGCAGAUGAAAGACGUAGCUUCGGUAAAGGUUCUAUGAAGCAAUCCCAAGGUUGAAGAGGCUACUCGGGAAGCCGAAGAGGACAUGAAUUCUAAGUAUCCAUUUUUUUUCCACUCAAGAUAAUCGUGCGUAAGGUAUGUGUUAUUCUUAACAUCUUUGUUUUCUGACUUUGUUAAAGGAAAGGUUGAUUUCCUUAGCAUCUUUAUUUUCUGAGUUUGUUAAAGGUAAGAGCAUCUCAAUAAAGAGUCAAAUCGUGCUAGCAAUUUCCCUUUCCCAUCAUUCAAGGACAAAUGGUUUUCAUGGCAUUAUUGUAGGUUUGUGUUAGUUUUGAAAUAUAUCUGGGGGUUUUGGUUACUAAUGGUUGGAUGAUGUUUUCACAUGUUCUAUUUAUGGUUUUCAAGUUGUAGUUUUGGUUUGAACAUGUAGCUGCAUGGGAAUGGUUAAUUGGUUCUUGGUUUUGGUUUUGGAAACUAUACGCCCUCAACAUGUUUGUUAAAAUGACAAUGAGAAUGUUUUUGUCAUAUAGUUUGACUUUUAUUGAAAACUUUGCAUUGCGUAAGAUGGUAAUGGAACUUAAAUUAGUUUAAAUGGUUUUAAAUGGAUUGAAAAGGACUUGGUGGUCAUGGAUUGGUUUAAUUAGAAUACUUGUGGGCUACAUGGGAAUCCCUUAGGUAUUGGCUAAUGACAUUGUUUGCAAGCUAUAGUCGGUAAGACGAUACCACUUUAUAAUGCCUUGGUAAUUAAAUUUUGGAAUUGGUGGUUUGAUUAUGUGUUAAAGGUUUUAAUUGGACAAUAAUGGUGGGUUGUGAUAGCUAGCCGUAAAGGUGUGAGUCCGAUGGACAAACAAUGGAAGCUUAUGUUUGACGACAUGAGGGUUUGUCAUGGUGACCAUAUACUUAUGGGGUCAACAGGAAUCCCCUAACUUUAUACUUGUAUAUAUGUAUCAUGGAGGGUGAAGGGUACACAAGAAUCUUCGACCUUUAUGAUAUCUCCGAUUCGUGCAUCUACACGCGCUGGGGCUCAUUUAGGGGGUAACACUAGACCCAUAUAGCCCGUGGGUGAAUUAUGACGGUAAAGCUACUCAACCCGAUUCCCUUCCCUGACAUGGUGUGUGUGUGUGUGUGUGUAUAUAUAUAUAUAUAUAUGAGAAAUUGCAUAUGGUUAUUUACUUUGGUUUUGAAUAAUGGCAUUACUUUAUCCUUAUUCCUGAGUACAUGCUAGCUUUCACCCGCUAACCCGUCUUCGAGUGUUGUAUCCCCAUGCGAUGCAGGAACCGGCCAUAGUACUUCUCCUAUUCAGUGACUUUGAUUCGAGGACAGCAUUUGUGUCAGACUGAAGUGGUGAGCUUCCAUAUUCCAAAAAACUCUAUUUCAUGAUAUGGAUAUCUUUUCAUACUUUUGGCUAUUUCUUGGACUUUGGUUUUGGCUAUGGUCAGGGGCAUGUCCCAACCGGAUGUUCUUUGUUUUCGGUUAGAGUCAUUGUGUGACUACUAUGGGCAUGGGUGGUGUCGGUAUUGGUGUCAACCUUGGCAUUGGUAUUAGGACUGACACCGUUUAGAUGUUUGGAUGGUUAUGAUUAUGAACUUCACUAAAAGUCUUUCAAUUAUAAUUUUUCUAUCUUGCUAUAUGUUCAGAAUUUAUACGACAUAGGGUAUUGGGCAGUUAUGGUGGGGUGUUGGGGGUGGUCUCCGGUUCCGAUUGGACUUGAGGCACCCGACAUGACUAGACCCUGGUUUGGGUCAUGUCAAUAUUAUUGAGGGGAUUCCUGUUAUCAAGUGGAUUUUUAAACAAGAAGUUAAAUGAAUGAACAUACUUGAAAACCUACAAUAUGCAAUUGUGGGUAACUUCUCUUACGAAUGGCCCAACAUAGCCGCACAUAGAAAAAAAAUUCCAAAAUACUGCGGUAUCAAAGGAGAGUGCGAAAUUGGGCUUCUACACAAUAGAUAUGUUCUAAUAAGGUAGGAACUCAGAGAAAAUUUCAUUAACAUGUUGUCAAAAAAUGCAUAUUAUAUCACUGAUAGGAAUGGCAAUUCCUAUCAAAUGCAUCCACUCAUAUAUGAUGAGAAUUUUAUGUCGAAGCAGAAAACAACACAUGCCUUAGCUGGAUAUCCUUUCCAGAUUUAUUGCCAAACUUCUUUGUCAAAGAGUCUCUAUUUUCUCUUGCUUCUUCAACUGGGAAACCUCUGCGUCUGGAUGCAGCUACAACCAACAAAAUAUGGCCUAG
rnacentral:lncRNA from 1 species